AGCCUGUGAUGAGGCCUUUGAUUUCUGACACCUCGUAUGAGAACUGCACGCGCAGUCUGAUUACCUCGCGGAGCUGAGGCUC
ensembl:snoRNA